GUGCCAGCGCCGACCCCGACUCCGGCCCCCAAGCCGACCAAGGUCAUCGCGCCCGUGGUGGACGACCCGGGCCAGGCGAACCCCGAGGACGCUGACCUCUACACAACGCGGUCGAGCUGAUGGGCCCGGCUGUCCGCCGGCGGUGCGGCGCCACGACACGUGACGCGACCGGAGACUGUGACUGGGCUGGCUAGCCGCGCCGCCGCCCGAGUAGGCACACAGCCGUGUCUAGCAUGUUAAUAAAAAUACAGGUUUAUUAA